rnacentral:rRNA from 1 species
GGUUUUUAGUUUUAUUUAGGAGUUGGUCUGCUCAAUGAAUUUUAAAUAGCUGCGGUAAGGUGACUGUGCGAAGGUAGCAUAAUAAUUAGUUUAUUAAUUGUGAACUGGGAUGAAAGGGCUGAUGGGGGACUUUCUGUCUUGUUUUUAUGAGUUGAAUUUGACGUUUAUGUUAUAAGGCGUAUAUAGUUCUGAGGGACGAUAAGACCCUAUAGAAUUAAAAUUUAUCUGAGUGUAAGGAGGUUUAUUAUUUUUUAUUUAAAUUGAAUUUUUGGUUGGGGUGAUUGGAAUAAUAGUUAAACUUUUUUUGGUUGGUUCAAGGAUUUUUGGUUAAGGGACUUGAUUUAAAGUUUAAGAUUAAAUUACCUUAGGGAUAACAGCAUAAUUUUUUUGGAGAGUUCUAAUCGAUAAAGAAGUUUGUGACCUCGAUGUUGAAUCUA